UACAGAGGGUGCGAACGUUGCUCGGAAUUACUGGGCGUAAAGCGCGUGUAGGCGGAACGGCAAGUCAGAUGUGAAAUCCCCGGGCUCAACCCAGGAACUGCAUCUGAAACUGCCGAUCUUGAGUACUGGAGAGGGUGGCGGAAUUCCUGGUGUAGAGGUGAAAUUCGUAGAUAUCAGGAGGAACACCGGUGGCGAAGGCGGCCACCUGGACAGUUACUGACGCUGAGACGCGAAAGCGUGGGGAGCAAACAGG
rnacentral:rRNA from 1 species